rnacentral:rRNA from 1 species
CAGAACGAACGCUGGCGGCAUGCCUAACACAUGCAAGUCGAACGAAGCCUUCGGGCUUAGUGGCGCACGGGUGCGUAACGCGUGGGAAUCUGCCCUUGGGUUCGGAAUAACAGUUAGAAAUGACUGCUAAUACCGAAUGAUGUCUUCGGACCAAAGAUUUAUCGCCCAAGGAUGAGCCCGCGUCGGAUUAGCUAGUUGGUGAGGUAAAGGCUCACCAAGGCGACGAUCCGUAGCUGGUCUGAGAGGAUGAUCAGCCACACUGGGACUGAGACACGGCCCAGACUCCUACGGGAGGCAGCAGUGGGGAAUAUUGGACAAUGGGCGAAAGCCUGAUCCAGCAAUGCCGCGUGAGUGAUGAAGGCCUUAGGGUUGUAAAGCUCUUUUACCCGGGAUGAUAAUGACAGUACCGGGAGAAUAAGCCCCGGCUAACUCCGUG